rnacentral:rRNA from 2 species
ACAUGCAAGUCGAGCGGUAGAGAGGUGCUUGCACCUCUUGAGAGCGGCGGACGGGUGAGUAAUGCCUAGGAAUCUGCCUGGUAGUGGGGGAUAACGCUCGGAAACGGACGCUAAUACCGCAUACGUCCUACGGGAGAAAGCAGGGGACCUUCGGGCCUUGCGCUAUCAGAUGAGCCUAGGUCGGAUUAGCUAGUUGGUGAGGUAAUGGCUCACCAAGGCGACGAUCCGUAACUGGUCUGAGAGGAUGAUCAGUCACACUGGAACUGAGACACGGUCCAGACUCCUACGGGAGGCAGCAGUGGGGAAUAUUGGACAAUGGGCGAAAGCCUGAUCCAGCCAUGCCGCGUGUGUGAAGAAGGUCUUCGGAUUGUAAAGCACUUUAAGUUGGGAGGAAGGGCCAUUACCUAAUACGUGAUGGUUUUGACGUUACCGACAGAAUAAGCACCGGCUAACUCUGUGCCAGCAGCCGCGGUAAUACAGAGGGUGCAAGCGUUAAUCGGAAUUACUGGGCGUAAAGCGCGCGUAGGUGGUUCGUUAAGUUGGAUGUGAAAGCCCCGGGCUCAACCUGGGAACUGCAUUCAAAACUGUCGAGCUAGAGUAUGGUAGAGGGUGGUGGAAUUUCCUGUGUAGCGGUGAAAUGCGU